UACGUAGGGUGCGAGCGUUGUCCGGAAUUAUUGGGCGUAAAGGGCUCGUAGGCGGUCUGUCGCGUCGAAAGUGAAAACUCAGGGCUUAACCCUGAGCCUGCUUCCGAUACGGGCAGACUAGAGGUAUGCAGGGGAGAACGGAAUUCCAGGUGUAGCGGUGAAAUGCGUAGAUAUCUGGAGGAACACCGGUGGCGAAGGCGGCAUCCUGGACCGGCAUUGACGCUGAGGCGCGAAAGCCAGGGGAGCAAACGGG
rnacentral:rRNA from 1 species